rnacentral:rRNA from 1 species
UACGAAUGGAGCAAGCGUUGUUCGGAAUCACUGGGCUUAAAGCGUAUGUAGGCGGACUGUAAAGUCAGGAGUGAAAUCCCGAGGCUCAACCUCGGAACUGCUCUUGAAACUCACAGUCUAGAAUCCUGGAGAGGUUAGGAGAAUUCCGAGUGUAGAGGUGAAAUUCGCAGAUAUUCGGAGGAAUACCAGUGGCGUAGGCGCCUAACUGGACAGGUAUUGACGCUCAGAUACGAAAGCGUGGGGAGCAAACAGG